rnacentral:rRNA from 1 species
UCUACGGGAGGCAGCAGUGAGGAAUAUUGGUCAAUGGGCGAGAGCCUGAACCAGCCAAGUCGCGUGAGGGAGUACUGCCCUAUGGGUUGUAAACCUCUUUUGUCGGGGAGCAAAAGCCGGACGUGUCCGGCUGUGAGAGUACCCGAAGAAAAAGCAUCGGCUAACUCCGUGCCAGCAGCCGCGGUAAUACGGAGGAUGCGAGCUUUAUUCGGAUUUAUUGGGGUUAAAGGUUGCGCAGGCGGAUUUUUAAGUCAGCGGUCAAAGCGUGGGGCUAAACCCCAUCCAGCCGUUGAAGCUGGGGAUCUAGAGUGUGCGAGAGGUAUGCGGAAUGCGUGGUGUAGCGGUGAAAUGCAUAGAUAUCACGCAGAACCCCGAUUGCGAAGGCAGCAUACCGGUGCACAACUGACGCUCAGGCACGAAAGCGUGGGUAUCGAACAGGAUUAGAUACCCUUGUAGUC